rnacentral:rRNA from 1 species
CCCUUAGAUGUCCUGGGCCGCACGCGCGUUACACUGAUGCAUUCAACGAGCAUAUAACCUUGGCCGAGAGGCCUGGGUAAUCUUGUUAACAUGCAUCGUGAUAGGGAUAGAUUAUUGCAAUUAUUAAUCUUGAACGAGGAAUUCCUAGUAAUCGCAGUUCAUCAAACUGCAAUGAUUACGUCCCUGCCCUUUGUACACACCGCCCGUCGCACCUACCGAUUGAAUGGUCCGGUGAGGACUCGGGAUUGUGGUUUAGCUCCUUCAUUGGGGCCUGACUGCGAGAACUUGUCCGAACCUUAUCAUUGAGAGGAAGGUGAAGUCGUAACA